rnacentral:rRNA from 1 species
UGGGGAAUAUUGCACAAUGGGCGCAAGCCUGAUGCAGCCAUGCCGCGUGUAUGAAGAAGGCCUUCGGGUUGUAAAGUACUUUCAGUCGGGAGGAAGGUGGUAAGGUUAAUAACCUUAUCAAUUGACGUUACCGACAGAAGAAGCACCGGCUAACUCCGUGCCAGCAGCCGCGGUAAUACGGAGGGUGCAAGCGUUAAUCGGAAUUACUGGGCGUAAAGCGCACGCAGGCGGUUGAUUGAGUCAGAUGUGAAAUCCCCGGGCUUAACCCGGGAAUUGCAUCUGAUACUGGUCAGCUAGAGUCUUGUAGAGGGGGGUAGAAUUCCAUGUGUGGCGGUGAAAUGCGUAGAGAUGUGGAGGAAUACCGGUGGCGAAGGCGGCCCCCUGGACAAAGACUGACGCUCAGGUGCGAAAGCGUGGGGAGCAAACAGG